rnacentral:rRNA from 1 species
GAUGAACGCUGGCGGCGUGCCUAAUACAUGCAAGUCGAGCGAACAGACGAGGAGCUUGCUCCUCUGACGUUAGCGGCGGACGGGUGAGUAACACGUGGAUAACCUACCUAUAAGACUGGGAUAACUUCGGGAAACCGGAGCUAAUACCGGAUAAUAUCUUGAACCGCAUGGUUCAAUAGUGAAAGACGGUUUUGCUGUCACUUAUAGAUGGAUCCGCGCCGUAUUAGCUAGUUGGUAAGGUAACGGCUUACCAAGGCAACGAUGCGUAGCCGACCUGAGAGGGUGAUCGGCCACACUAGAACUGAGACACGGUCCAGACGCCUACGGGAGGCAGCAGUAGGGAAUCUGCCGCAAUGGGCGAGAGCCUGACGGAGCAACGCCGCGUGAGUGAUGAAGGUCUUCGGAUCGUAAAACUCUGUUAUUAGGGAAGAACAAAUGUGUAAGUAACUAUGCACGUCUUGACGGUACCUAAACAGAAAGCCACGGCUAACUACGUG